rnacentral:misc_RNA from 1 species
AGAAAACCAACUCAAAUUCAGUGGCCUGCCUCUGUGUUGUCAUCAUGUUCACUUCUAAACAGGAUUUUAUGAAUAAUUUUAAGUACAGAAUAAGACAGAAAAUGAAAAAGGAUCCAAGGGUGUAAUAUAAAAGCCUCUCCAUUUCUUAAAUUCCAACAUUACGAAAGCCUGCUUAGAAAUUUUAAGCUUCUGCAACUUUUUUGCAGUUUCAAAAAUGGAGGAAAAUUCAAGCCAAUUGGCAGAAGCAAUAGCAUCAUCCCAAACCAUGGAAGCUGGUGAAGAAGAAAGAGACCCAGAAACCACUUCUCUCCAACAGCCACUCCUCAAGAGAAAUAGAACUCUAUCUUCCAAUCCAUUAGCCUUGGUUGGAGCUAAAGUCUCUCACAUAGAGAGCUUGGAUUAUGAGAUCAAUGAGAAUGAUCUUUUCAAGCAUGAUUGGAGAAGCAGAUCCAAAGUUCAAGUUCUGCAAUAUAUUUUCCUGAAAUGGACCCUCGCCUUUGUUGUUGGACUUCUCACUGGCUUAAUUGCCACCUUAAUCAAUCUUGCAGUUGAGAACAUCGCUGGCUACAAGCUUCUUGCUGUUGUUCAAUUCAUAGAGAAUGAAAGGUAUUUAACAGGGUUGGCCUAUUUCACUGGGGCUAAUCUUAUUUUAACAGCGUUUGCUGCUGUUUUGUGUGUGUGUUUUGCACCCACAGCUGCAGGGCCAGGCAUACCUGAAAUUAAAGCUUAUCUCAAUGGAAUAGAUACUCCCAACAUGUUUGGAGCCACAACAUUGAUUGUUAAGAUAUUUGGAAGCAUUGGAGCCGUCGCUGCUGGCCUAGAUUUAGGAAAAGAAGGACCUUUGGUACAUAUCGGCAGCUGUAUUGCUUCCUUGCUAGGCCAAGGGGGACCAGAUAAUUACCGUCUCAAGUGGCGCUGGCUUCGCUACUUCAACAAUGACAGAGAUCGCCGAGACAUCAUCACCUGCGGUGCUUCUUCAGGUGUUUGUGCAGCCUUCCGAGCUCCAGUGGGCGGUGUCCUUUUUGCUCUUGAAGAGGUAGCAACAUGGUGGAGGAGUGCACUUCUCUGGAGAACAUUCUUCAGCACAGCUGUAGUGGUGGUGGUGCUCAGGGCAUUUAUAGAAAUCUGCAAUUCAGGGAAGUGUGGGCUAUUUGGAAGAGGAGGGUUGAUCAUGUUUGAUGUGAGUGAUGUUACUGUGAGUUACCAUGCUAUCGAUAUUAUCCCAGUAAUCAUAAUUGGCAUACUUGGAGGUGUUUUGGGAAGCCUUUACAACUACCUUCUUCACAAGGUCCUCAGACUCUAUAAUCUCAUUAACCAGAAAGGAAGAAUGCACAAGCUACUACUCAGUCUGACACUUUCACUCUUUACCUCGGUUUGCUUAUUUUGUCUCCCAUUUCUUGCCAAAUGCCAACCUUGUGAUCUCUCCACAACAGAGGCAUGCCCUACCAAUGGGCGAUCAGGCAACUUCAAACAAUUCAAUUGUCCAAAGGGCUACUAUAAUGACCUUGCUACACUCCUCCUUACCACAAAUGAUGAUGCUGUCCGAAACAUCUUCUCCUCCAACACUCCCAAAGAAUUUCAGCCUGCAUCCCUGCUCAUUUUCUUUGCACUCUAUUGUGUUUUAGGACUAUCUACUUUUGGCAUUGCUGUGCCCUCAGGUCUCUUCCUCCCUAUAAUACUUAUGGGUUCAGCUUAUGGCCGUCUGCUCGGUGUCGUCAUGGGAUCCUAUACCAAUAUCGACCAGGGGCUUUAUGCAGUUCUUGGUGCAGCCUCACUAAUGGCUGGCUCGAUGAGGAUGACAGUUUCACUGUGUGUAAUUUUCCUUGAACUCACCAACAACCUCUUAUUACUUCCCAUAACAAUGAUAGUCCUCCUCAUAGCCAAAACAGUGGGAGAUAGCUUCAAUCCAAGUAUCUAUGAAAUUAUACUGCACUUAAAAGGCCUACCUUUCUUGGAUGCAAAUCCUGAGCCAUGGAUGAGAAAUCUCACUGUCGGUGAGCUUGCUGAUGCCAAAUCACCAGUGGUUACUCUUUGUGGAGUGGAAAAGGUUUCCCGGAUUGUAGAUGUCCUCAAAAAUACCACAUACAAUGGGUUCCCUGUUGUAGAUGAGGACGUGGUAUCACCUGUGGGACAGGCCACAGUGGCAACUGAACUUCACGGAUUGAUCCUGAGAGCUCACCUUGUUCAGGUGCUCAAGAAGAAGUGGUUCCUGCAAGAGAGAAGGAGAACAGAAGAGUGGGAAGUAAGAGAGAAGUUUACGUGGGUUGAGCUGGCUGAGAGGGAAGGGAAGAUUGAAGAGGUGGCAGUAACAAGGGAUGAAAUGGAAAUGUAUGUUGAUCUGCAUCCUCUCACCAAUACAACCCCUUACACGGUCGUAGAGAGCAUGUCAGUGGCAAAAGCCAUGGUGCUCUUCAGGCAAGUAGGGCUUCGCCACUUGCUCAUUGUUCCCAAGUAUCAGGCAGCAGGGGUAUCUCCGGUGGUUGGAAUCUUGACUAGGCAAAAUUUAAGGGCAUACAACAUCUUGACUGCCUUCCCUCAUUUGGCCGGAUCCAAUUGCAGAGAAAAGAGGAACUAAAUUUAUCAGUCAAAUAAAUGAUAAUACAAGCUUUGCUUGAAGCAACAAAUUUCGGUGUUCCUUUCGUUUUUGCCAUGAAUUUUCCAUUCUUUCAUCACACUCCACAUGAGAUUGGUGAGAUACAAAAUUGACAUAAAAUGCUAUUCAUUUGUAAGCCUUUUUGCCCCCAUGUGAAUCCCAUUUGCCUUGCACUAUAACAGAGAAUACAACAGACUUGUCUGAUAAUUAAUAAAUUUUCCAUUAUAGCCAUUCUUGGGGCGUUCCUCGUCACAUGUCAUUUGCUUUUUCCGGUUUUUCUUCUUCAUCUUCAUCUUCUAUGUGCAAUUUAUAAUCCUUCUUGGGAUCACAGAAACUCCAUGCUGAUCCUCAUGAUCGUUUUUUCUUCUUUCCUGAUUUCUUCUUCUUGACGCCUGCUCCUUGGCCCCCCCGAAUACAGCCAGAAUCUCAAUACUGCAGUAACCCAAAAUCAGAUCUAAUCAAGCAUCAUGAAAGAGAUAAAUAAAAGAAUGUCCCAUCUGUACACAGAUGUGACAUUAAUUUUGUUAAGGUAUAUGGAUGAAGUGAUUUAAUGAUAAUGACAUUCAGUGCCUCUAUUAGAACUAACCAUCACCAUAAUUAUGGUUUGGGAUCAAGAAAUUCCAACAAUAUAAUAAUUUCUGCUUUCUUAACAGUUAUGGAUGUCCCACAACUGUAAAUUUAAUUCAAAGCUUCUCUUAUUCCUAAUUGCUACCUGGUCAAGCGACCUGGAAUUCUCCAGAUUUUUAAAGAGAUUACAGAUAGUUUAAAGCAAGUGCGCAAAACAGAUGCAGUGAAGGCACUCAUAACAAUUUGUUUGUAAUUCACAUGGCCAUUGAAUUAAAUACAGUAAAGUGAGUAAAAAAUACAUUUAUGAUCACUGAUCAGUUAUCAAAAAAGUAGAAGAAAUAGUUACCUCUGGGUUUUCCAUGGCAUAAAGUUAUCAAUUCCAUGGCAUUUCAUAGCAAGCACUUCGAUUGCACUACCUCUUUGGAGCUUUCCCAUCCACAGUUUAUAUAAGUAUGAGUUUAGGGUAGUGAUUGAGGGUCCUUCAAAGUUGCUUUGCCUCUGAUUUCAACUGAAACUUCCCUUUGACUUACUGAUGAAAUUGACAAUACAAGAAUAAAGAACCACACCAGCAAUGCUUGCCAGUAAAACAAACUAAGAAUUAACACAGCCAUUCAAACAAAGUAAGAAUUAACACUAAUUUAGUUGCAAAUUAAAAGGGAUAAAAUUGCAUUAUCGACCUUUACUCUGGGAAAUGUCUACAACAUUGUGAGUUCCGUCCUGGUAGAGCCCAAUCAGAGGGUUCUUCGAGGAACAGCGAACAGCCAGUUUUGCGCAACACCUCCAUCCUCACUGUACUGCCAAACAAAGAAUUCAAACCAAAAAAAAAUCCAAUUGGGACAACUUCAAAAAAAAAAAAGAAAAAUCCAUCAGGAAUGAUUCGAGCAGACACCAAUCUAUAGCUAUCAAAAGUGAAGACUGAAAUUCCAAGGCUCUUGAAAAACUCAGCAGCUUCAUCGACGAUGAUCGGACAAUAGAGACUGAAUUCUUGAGUGCAACCAGAGCACCUGAAAAUUUAAAAAAGAAAAAGCAAACUAUAUAGUUUGUCCAAACGUCAAAUAAAAGUGUUUAUGGUUGGGCUACGCACGAUUCGAAGUGAGGGCACUGGAGGACGCACGUUUGCGCAGGCGCGGUUGUUGCGUUGAGAUUCGC